CGUUCAAACAACAAUUGGGAUGAAGCCCUUAAGGGGUGGAUUAGUGGCGAACGGGUGAGUAACACGUGAGCAACCUGCCCUUGACUCUGGGAUAAGCCUGGGAAACUGGGUCUAAUACCGGAUAGGACCCCUUGCCGCAUGGUGGGGGGUGGAAAGCCUUGUGCGGUCUUGGAUGGGCUCGCGGCCUAUCAGCUUGUUGGUGGGGUGAUGGCCUACCAAGGCGACGACGGGUAGCCGGCCUGAGAGGGUGACCGGCCACACUGGGACUGAGACACGGCCCAGACUCCUACGGGAGGCAGCAGUGGGGAAUAUUGCCCAAUGGGCGGAAGCCUGAUGCAGCGACCCCGCGUGGGGGAUGACGGCCUUCGGGUUGUAAACCCCUUUCGGCAGGGAACAAGCCCCUUGGGGUGAGGGUACCUGCGGAAGAAGCGCCGGCUAACUACGUGCCAGCAGCCGCGGUAAUACGUAGGGCGCGAGCGUUAUCCGGAAUUAUUGGGCGUAAAGAGCUCGUAGGCGGUUUGUCGCGUCUGCUGUGAAAGCCCGGGGCUCAACCCCGGGUCUGCAGUGGGUACGGGCAGGCUGGAGUGCAGUAGGGGAGACUGGAAUUCCUGGUGUAGCGGUGAAAUGCGCAGAUAUCAGGAGGAACACCGAUGGCGAAGGCAGGUCUCUGGGCUGUAACUGACGCUGAGGAGCGAAAGCAUGGGGAGCGAACAGGAUUAGAUACCCUGGUAGUCCAUGCCGUAAACGUUGGGCACUAGGUGUGGGGGCCAUUCCACGGUUUCCGCGCCGCAGCUAACGCAUUAAGUGCCCCGCCUGGGGAGUACGGCCGCAAGGCUAAAACUCAAAGGAAUUGACGGGGGCCCGCACAAGCGGCGGAGCAUGCGGAUUAAUUCGAUGCAACGCGAAGAACCUUACCAAGGCUUGACAUGUGCCGGACCGUCCCAGAGAUGGGGCUUCCCUUCGGGGCCGGUUCACAGGUGGUGCAUGGUUGUCGUCAGCUCGUGUCGUGAGAUGUUGGGUUAAGUCCCGCAACGAGCGCAACCCUCGUUCCAUGUUGCCAGCACUUCGGGUGGGGACUCAUGGGAGACUGCCGGGGUCAACUCGAAGGAAGGGGGGGACGACGUCAAAUCAUCAUGCCCCUUAUGUCUUGGGCUUCACGCAUGCUACAAUGGCCGGUACAAAGGGUUGCGAUUCUGGGAGGUGGAACCAAUCCCAAAAAGCCGGUCCCAGUUCGGAUUGGGGGCUGGAACUCGACCCCUUGAAUCCGAAUCCCUAGAAACCGGAAUAACCAACCCUCCGGGGAAUACUUUCCCGGGCCUUGUACACACCGCCCGGCUAAGUCCAAAAAGUCGGUAAACCCCAAACCCGGGGGCCAACCCUUUUGGGGAGGGGACCUCUAAGGGGACUGGGGAUGUAAGU
rnacentral:rRNA from 1 species